ensembl:lncRNA
CUCAGUGUCAAUUAUAUUAUUAUAGCAUUUAAUAUAUUUAUAAUAAUUAUGAACAACAGUUUCACCUAGAGCAUAAAAUCUGCUUCAGAUGAGUGGCCCUUUUUCUCUCUGGUCAGUAUAGCAGAAAGGUACAAUUAAAUAAGUUAUGAGUAAUCCUUAAAUCAUUUUGCAUGGAUAAUGACACCCUAGUCCCGUCUUGUAUCCUCGCUCUAACCAUUAACAUUGUAGCACUAUAACAUGCUGCGUGGAAAGUGGACAGUGCAGGGAUAUGACAUGUGAAAGGUGCAGGAUGCAGUGUGCUGUUUAAAUAAUAUCAUGUAGGAGAACUUGGCAGUCAUUUGUGAAGUUUUAAAGGUUCAUACUUUUUUUGAAAAGGUUUGUGGGCUGGUCUCCAUGACAAAGCAACACCUACACAAUGAUAAAAAAAAAUAAUUGUUAGUUGUGUUCUGUUUUACUCAGGACUACUUAAACACCAUGUUAUGUGUAUGGAUUAAUCCUCUGUUCAUCUUUUUUUAAUCUUUACUAUGUCAACAUUCCUUCAUGAUUCAUCCUUCAGUGCUGAUAUACGUUUUCUUUGUUUUAUUUGAGUCUUUUGCAAACCGUGUUGAUAAAGUGGGGUUCAUGGUUUACACUUAUAGAAAGAGAGGAUUUGCAACAUAACAUAGAGAGAGAACAGAGUAAGAGCAUUUUUAAUCAUCGCCUGAAUGAUGAUGGUAAUUUGUGUGUGUGCGCGUGGAUGAUGGAGGUUAUUACAGGCACCUUAUUAGCAGUGCAUGCAUGUGUGUUUGGUUUAAUUGCUCUAAUCAUAAUAACCGUAUGUAACUUAAUGUGAGAGCCAUUUAGCGUACGAGUCUGUGUCUAUGCCUGUGGCAUUUCCUCACUUCGCUGUGACUUUAUUGUGACCUCAUAUCAGCUUUUCCACUGAGAAAUAACAAAUGCAUGCAGACACACAACCACACCUGCUGAGAGAAUCACAAAACACAGUGCAGUGGCCAUGUAAUGGGAAACAGAUUGUCUAAUUGCUAAUUACUAUCAUAGAACAGGACACACACAUUGCACAGGUAUGCUCUGCACAGUAACCUGUUGGCUGUUGGUUAUCAUCAACAUCAGGCUACCUGUGAAUACAUUUACCAGAGUUAACCUUCCACCACACAAGCUUACAGCUUACAGCUGUUUGUUCAUCCAUCAUUUGUGAAAAUUUACCAACUUACCACUUUGUGUAUAAUUAUUCUUCCCUUGAUCAAAAAACAUAUUUAAACACAGCAAGAUUCACGAAAUGUGUGCAAAGUGUACAACGGCAAAUUUGCAUAAUCAGAAUCAUUCAGCCACCUUGUUUUCUGUUCCUGCAGUCUUCAUACAUCCUCAGCCGUAUUUCAGUUUAUAAAGCUGCAUGUUUGCCUCGAGGAAAAGUGGAGAAAGUGAUGAGGAUGCUGCCUGAGCCACUAGGGCAGGGGUGGGCAACUCCAGGCCUCGAGGGCCGGUGUCCCUGCAGGUUUUAGAUGUGUCCUUGAACCAACACAGCUGAUUUAAAUGGCUAAAUUAGCUCCUGCAGUUCUCCAGAAGCCUGGUAACAAACUAAUCAUGUGAUUCAGGUAUGUUGACCCAAGGUGAGAUCUAAAACCUGCAGGACACCGGCCCUCGAGGCCUUGAAUUGCCCACCCCUGCCCUAGGGAGAAAAAGUGGGAGAAAGUGAGACUGAAGAAAGUAAAACAAGAGUAUCUGAGGAGAGAGCGAGAAAAGGCACUCCUUUCCAAAGUGUUUCCUGGGGCGUGAUGAUAAUAGUUCAAAAAAAAGAAAAGAAAAAACAAGACUCACAAGCUGAUAGAAACUAUGCUGAAUAUCAAGACACUCACUGUCACUUAAGUAGAAACAGAAAAGUUUUGACUUCAACAUCAACGUUUCAGAUUCUUCAGCAUCACUGGGACAGUCAACAAAGUUAGACUGUAAGUGGUGAAAUCCAGUUUAAUAAUUGAUAAAACAAUAGUUUAAUAAUUAGAAUAGGUUAAAACAAAACCUUUCAAGUUAGCAUUUUGUGCUCAUCGCAUCUAAUGUCAUAUUUCGGAGUUACAGGGUUUGCUUAAUCCUAAUUAUAACCAAUUUGUAUUUAUGGUGUAUGCUGUAACUGUAAAUCAUGACCAAAAGUAUAUAAUAAUAAUCAUCAUUUUUUAACAAUAUUAUUAUUAUUGUUUUUAUAGAGUAUAGACAAACAGAGUAUGAACAAUUUCAGGAAGGAAAAUAUUGCUGAGUCUCAGAUUUUGUAACCACAGCUUGCAUAUAGAUUGUGUGUGUCUGGUGUUUGUGAAUGAGGCUCAGUGUCUCAGUGGGCAGUGUUCAUGCAGUUUGUAUCUUGAAUGUAACACAACAAAGGAGAGAUAAAUAAGUAAUAUGUACCGAACACAUAUUUCUAUUUAAGAGUGUAUUUUUACAAAUCAAUAUAGAUACAAAUAUGUUGACAUUGUCCUUUCCAGUAAGUCCUGUUUCUUCUUUGGUGCAGCUUUAAUGACAAGUUAAGUUUAGAGAUGCCAAAAAGUAACAAACACAAAAGCCUCUGCUCCACAGAGGAUGCCCUUAAGAAUUCAGACAAUCUUAAAAUCCUGCAGUGCAGCCCCCAUGCAAAGAUGGGAAAACACUUCGCUUUGUCCAUUAGAUAAGUCACCGUGGGAUAUACAGAGUGCCAAAAACAGAAAUUUAACUAAUAAAUUAAAAAAGAAAAAAAAAUCAGAAUACAGUCACUAUCUCGGGGGACAGUGAUUAAUGAUUUGUGUUACUGCUCAGCCUUUCCACCCUUAAGGCCCAGCUUUCAAGUUUACUGUAAAAACUGGAAAAAAUGUUUUAAUGCGAUACAUUCUUGCCUCAAAUGACCAGCAGUGGAACACAGUCUGGUUUAUAUUAUUGACAUCAAUAAUCGCUUCACCAUAUCAAAAUGUUCUGAAGCAAUUUUGUUAAAGUGUUGCCUUAUUUGAUUCUUUCCUUUCAUAUCUUUCAUAAACGCAGAUCGUAAUAAAUGCUUUAAGCACAUUUAUUGUGUCAGCAGAUGAGAAUGAUUCAAUAAGUGGUUUGUUUUCAAAGUGAAGACGUCUGAUUCUGAGCUUUUUGUGUAACAUCAUUAUUUUUUUACCACCAUCUUACAUCAGUCACACAUUGUCAGAUUUGUUCUUUGAUCUGAAUUUAAUUUUUUUCUUUGUAGAGAAACUGAACCGAGAAACUUGACGGGCAUGUUUCUGUAACAAAGACCCCCAGAAGAAAUAAUAUAGCCUAUAGCAUAUUUAGUAGCACUUGUCUGGGCUUGUUCCAGAUUCUGGAUUCAGUCCUGCAGUGACUGCGGAGAUUAUACUUCAUUUCUGGACCUCUAAAAUAUUAGCAAUUCAGGAAGUACUUCCAAAAGUUAGGGUGUACAAAUUCUAACCUCUAGAUAGGCUGUUUGUUUUCCCCCCAUUACUUAGGAAAGUUCCUUCCCCUAACAUUUGCUGUGUCUCUCAUUCAUAAUGAGCUGUCACAACUCCAAGUUGAAUAAGUCUAUUCAAAUGUAUUCAUAUACUGGCUACUUUGAUAACUGGAUGACAAUAUGCACAGUGAAAGUCUAAAUAGUGUUGAAAACCCAGUUUUAGGCAAGCGUUUGUCCUGGAGACACAAAACCAGGAGCAAAACAUGUUAAGUCGACUUGUUUACUGUUGAGUAUCCGGGCGGGCUGUAUGUUGUCGUUUUUUUGUGUCUGAUAUAAUUAGUGUAGAUAAAGAGGACAUAUAUUAUGCUCUUCUGAUCAUCAUAUUUCUUCUGUACAUUUCUCUUACUGCUCUUCACAUAAACCCAAUAUUCCCCGUCAGCUCAUUAUCACCGAUAUAUAUCGACAAAAUAACAGAGUCAGAGUCUACACUAAGGACGCCUUUUAUCCACGUGGCGGUUGCUGUUAGCCUACUGAUAUGUGAAGCGACAGAUCAGAGGGGGGACCAUGACACUGGUUGACAUGCAUGGCGACAGAUGAAAUUCACACAAUGAGCUGAAAUGUGAAUAUCAUCUGUCUUCGCCGCGCUGCGCCCGCUCACAUUUAUUCGAAUCCACAGGCCCACAUCGGCAGCAGUUGCUAUUUCGAGCUGCCCCGUGUUCAUUUUUGUUCCUGUUUGCUGUGUUUGCUUUAUUUUGCCUACUUUGAUCUAUUUCUAGUGUGAUUUUUACAGCAGUUUGGUUGCCUGUUCGAGAGACGAUGUGUAAACUAAACGAAGAUGGCAAACAAACAAGAUCUGUGAAUUUUGUACAAACUGUAGGAACAAAUGACUGUUUUUCUACUGAGCCUGUUAUCUCUAUAUGUUUCUUUGGUGGUGUUGGGGGGAGUGAGGCUCUAUAUGGAGCUCGGGUGGACAGGGUGGGACCGGGAUAUUUCUGUAAACGGUCGGGGACUGUGCAAUGGCUACUUGUAAUUAUUCAGAGUAUAAAGGUGGAAAAAAUGUCCGUUAUGACAAAUGAAAUAAAGUGUUAUAUUUGCAUGAUUUCCUGUAUUUUCAUCAAGCUAAUAUUUAUGGUUGUGUAUACUGAAUGGAUGUAUUAUUAACUUAAUAAUUGUUUAAUUAUGAAAAUGAAAAAAACAAAACAAAAACAAAACCUGUCACUUUCUUCUGUGAAUUGAAAUAUAUGGUUUCUUAGCUCUUUUAUGACUAACUUAGCUGUUGCUGAUGUUUCUUGUCGUUUGCACUACUCUUUACUGUCACUGAUUUGCAAUCUGUUUCCAUCAACAAGCGCAACAUCUUUGAUAAUCUAAAAUCGUGCAGCACUCUCGCACAGUUUAUUAUUUUUUCCUCAGAGGCACUGCAAAAAAAAACAAAAAACGGAUCCUCUGAGCUUUCAAAUUCCACCCUAACAAAUCCCACUUUGAAACCUUUUCCCCUGACAGACAGAUUUACAUUUGUGAAUCAAAGCUUCAAAAGCCACCUCCUCACAGAAACACUCAGAACACAUUACACCAGACCUUUCCUCUAAAGAAAAAAAAAAAUGGUUGCCACGGGGGAGGAGUCAACAACAUUCAGAUACUGCAUCCUACGUUUGACGGAGUUAUACAAAUUAGUCUGACAGGCUGACAAUUUUUGUUGUGUUUAAAGUCUUAAAAUGCAAACAUGCCAGGGGAAGGUGAAAGAAAAGUCAGAACAAGUGAUUUUUCAUAUAAAGGAAGAAGGUCCCCCGAGGCUUGGCUUUAGUGUCUGUAAACAUGCUUUUCCCCCCCAGUGGCUUUUCUG